UACGUAGGGGGCAAGCGUUGUCCGGAAUCAUUGGGCGUAAAGCGCGUGUAGGCGGCUCGAUAAGUCUGCUGUGAAAGUCCAAGGCUCAACCUUGGGAUGCCGGUGGAUACUGCCGGGCUAGAGUCCGGAAGAGGCGAGUGGAAUUCCUGGUGUAGCGGUGGAAUGCGCAGAUAUCAGGAGGAACACCAACGGCGAAGGCAGCUCGCUAGGACGGUACUGACGCUGAGACGCGAAAGCGUGGGGAGCGAACAG
rnacentral:rRNA from 1 species